AAGUGUAACACCCGCGAAGAAUGCACGGAAGGAAAUAAUUUGGUUUCACAGCUACUUCUAUGUAUGUGUGGGGCCGGAUCAGAAGACUACGUUCGCUCAGGAGUCAGGAUUGCAGCAGGAGAAAGAACACAACAACAACUUCUGGAAAAGAAAACUCAACAGAAAGUAAACAACAAAAAUGCACAGUGUGAUGAACAACUUCCAGAUUCUAUGAAAUGGGAUGGCUCGCCAGUUUCUGCAACCGUGUGUCUCUCUCUCUCUCGAUGGACAGCAGAAACAAUUCUCCCAAACGUCAACAAAACUCCAGAUCCAGAAUCAGCAUUGCUCUCAGGAACAUCAAUAAACAAAGAAGAGAGAGAGAAAAGAAAAGAAACCAACAAAAAAAAAAAAAACCCAACCUUGCAAAACAAGGCAGAAAAUUACAAUUAAUAUCAGAGCUCUCAAUAUCAAAAGCAUAUUUCAGUAACACACUGAAAAAAUGUACAAUUGCACUCACAAUAUACACAUCUCUUUUUUCUUUAAACACAUUUCUCAUUAAAAUACAACAACUGAUUUGCUCAACUUACUCAACCCAUAUAAAUCAAUGCGUUAGCCAUUAGCUAAGACCGCAUGGUUAGCAUAACUCCCUGUGCUUAGCAUCACACUUUCAGCACAUAUUAUUGACAUAAAAUAACCAUUUGACCACAAAUCAACAUAUAUACACAUAUAUUUUUCUUCUAAAACAUUGAACAGAAAUAAAGCAUAAUUUAGACGUUUGUUUUGUAGUGAAACACUACACUAACUAAUUUAUAUAAAGGACAGACAAAUACAUAUACAUGUAAUUCACUUACCAAGAAAAAUAGUGAGUAAACAGAACAAUCCCGGAUGGAAAAAUAAAAAUCUCUCUUUUGGUUUCUCUCGAGUGAAUUAACUUUUUUCUGUUUCCUAUUCUCUUCAGAUCCAGUGCAAUCGCGAUCGUCUAAUGUAAGCACCACUUUACUGCUAACGAGCGAACACUGUUCUCAUAUUUCAAAACACUUCUCUUACAGAUCGACUUAACUUAAAACACUUUAAAUCUCUGUUCAAAAGCUGUUUUUGCUAAAUCGCCAUGUCUCCGCUUCUCACCGUUCUCUCCCUUUUUCUGUUUGUUCUCCUCAAUCCCCUUUUUCUGUUUUUUUUUUGACGUCAACCUUGAGGGAGGGGUUACUCUUAAACGGCCAGUUUCUAAUUUUACUUAUUUUCCUAGACAUUUUCUGUUAUUAACUAUUUCACUUAGUAUAAGUUGAGAAUUCGAUAUAUAAUAUGAAUAUGAAUAAAAUAAUGGGAUGAUAUUAAUAAAAUAGUCUUAUUUUAUUUACAUAUGUAGUAAUAUAUAUUUUUCUCUAUUCACAGGUGCUGGCUCUUGUAACCUGGGUUACAUCCUCCCUCACGGAAUAUAUGCACGUCCCUGUGCAUUUACACAUCGAUGAUAGGGGGAACCACAGACUCUUCAAAGGAGCACUCGACUGCCUUACUUAAGCCUUGCAAUAAGGACUGAAACACUGUGGUGAGUGGAUUUCCUAAUGUGGGGUAUUCAAACUUUUUAGGGGGGUGUCGCUCUCUCUGUGAGCGUCUGGGAAUAAUAUCCUCAAGAUCAGCAUUUUCGAGCUCUCAAUAUCAAAAGCAUAUUUCAGUAACACACUGAAAAAAUGUACAAUUGCACUCACAAUAUACACAUCUCUUUUUUCUUUAAACACAUUUCUCAUUAAAAUACAACAACUGAUUUGCUCAACUUACUCAACCCAUAUAAAUCAAUGCGUUAGCCAUUAGCUAAGACCGCAUGGUUAGCAUAACUCCCUGUGCUUAGCAUCACACUUUCAGCACAUAUUAUUGACAUAAAAUAACCAUUUGACCACAAAUCAACAUAUAUACACAUAUAUUUUUCUUCUAAAACAUUGAACAGAAAUAAAGCAUAAUUUAGACGUUUGUUUUGUAGUGAAACACUACACUAACUAAUUUAUAUAAAGGACAGACAAAUACAUAUACAUGUAAUUCACUUACCAAGAAAAAUAGUGAGUAAACAGAACAAUCCCGGAUGGAAAAAUAAAAAUCUCUCUUUUGGUUUCUCUCGAGUGAAUUAACUUUUUUCUGUUUCCUAUUUUCUUCAGAUCCAGUGCAAUCGCGAUCGUCUAAUGUAAGCACCACUUUACUGCUAACGAGCGAACACUGUUCUCAUAUUUCAAAACACUUCUCUUACAGAUCGACUUAACUUAAAACACUUUAAAUCUCUGUUCAAAAGCUGUUUUUGCUAAAUCGCCAUGUCUCCGCUUCUCACCGUUCUCUCCCUUUUUUUGUUUGUUCUCCUCAAUCCCCUUUUUCUGUUUUUUUUUUGACGUCAACCUUGAGGGAGGGGUUACUCUUAAACGGUGCUGGCUCUUGUAACCUGGGUUACACAAGCAUUAGUUUUAACUUUAUAAAAACUAUCAUUCUCUAACAGAGAAAGAAGGUUUUCA
ensembl:lncRNA